GCAGCACCUUGGAUAGAUAGCCACAACUUUAUCGCACAAAAAGAUAAUUAUUAAUUGACUCGUAGUGUUAACGAACCAAAUUCAAUAAAUUACACAAGCUUGCCAUGAGAAAACGAACCUGUGGAAUACAGUGAGAUGGAAUUUUUGAAUUUGGAACUUAAAAAUUCAACGGAAAAUGAUUUUGAAGAAAUUUCUCAAUCCACUGCUAUCUCCUCGGAUAAUGCCUCUUCAACUCCUCGAAGUACUAAAAAGAAAACAGGACAGAAAUUUUGAACAUGUAUUUGAAAAAAUCGAGAAAUUAGAACAUAAGGAAGAACAAGGAAAAAGGCAUUAAAUUCGGCUGGGCCGAACUUUGGAUACCCACCACCUCGGGUAUAUAUGUAAACCCCAUUUCGUCACAAUCCAAUAAAAAUUGGAUAACUUAAGCAUCCAAAUUCGGCACGGACAUUGAGUUGUCUAAUAUAUAUACCACUA